UAUGAAUAUUUUUUUGUAAUAUUAUUUGACUGUGGCGCUAUGCUAUUCAGCGGUUACUGACGAAAAUGAUCCCGCUAACAAGAAGCUAACAAGAGAAUCACUGACAUGAUGUCAGCUGGUCCUUUUGUGGCAGGGCUGAAAUGCAGUGGAAAUGUUUUUUGGGGGAUUCAGUAAAUUUGCAUGCAAAGAGGGAAUUUGCAAUUAACUGUAAUUAAUCUGAUCACUCUUCAUAACAUUCUGGAGUAUAUGCAAAUUGCCAUAAUACAAACUGAGGCAGCAGACUUUGUGAAAAUUAAUAUUUGUGUCAUUCUCAAAACGUUUGGCCAUGACUGUAUAUACACACAAUAUUUAGGUCAAAUAGGGGAGAGGUGUUGUGUGGUGAGUUUUUGGUUAAUCGUUUUUUUUUUAAACCAGGUUUUUGGUUAAUUGUUUUUUUUUAAACCAGGUUUUUGGUUAAUUGUUUUUUUUUAAACCAGGUUUUUGGUUAAUUUGUUUUUUUUAAACCAGGUUUUUGGUUAAUUGUUUUUUUUUAAACCAGGUUUUUGGUUAAUUGUUUUUUUUAAACCAGGUUUUUGGUUAAUUGUUUUUUUUUAAACCAGGUUUUUGGUUAAUUGUUUUUUUUAAACCAGGUUUUUGGUUAAUUGUUUUUUUUAAACCAGGUUUUUGGUUAAUUGUUUUUUUUAAACCAGGUUUUUGGUUAAUUGUUUUUUUU